rnacentral:rRNA from 1 species
CCUACGGGAGGCAGCAGUGGGGAAUAUUGCACAAUGGGGGAAACCCUGAUGCAGCGACGCCGCGUGAGUGAAGAAGUAAUUCGUUACGUAAAGCUCUAUCAGCAGGGAAGAAACACUGACCUUACGGUCAGCAGACGGUACCUGAGUCAGAAGCCCCGGCUAACUACGUGCCAGCAGCCGCGGUAAUACGUAGGGGGCAAGCGUUAUCCGGAUUUACCGGGUGUAAAGGGAGCGUAUACGGUUCGCCAAGUCUGACGUGAAAUGCCGCAGCUUAACUGCGGAACUGCUUUGGAAACUGGCGAACGAGAGUGCGGGAGGGGUAAGCGGAAUUACUAGUGUAGCGGUGAAAUGCGUAGAUAUUAGGAGGAACACCGGUGGCGAAGGCGGCUUACUGGACCGUAACUGACGUUGAGGCUCGAAAGCGUGGGGAGCAAACAGGAUUAGAUACCCUAGUAGUC